ensembl:lncRNA
UUUUACAGGGUGAACGGAUGGCGGAGGAGGAGACAUAUAUCAGCCAGAGUGUUUUGAGACCUGCAUCAAAGACACAGUGGACUCAGGUGAGGACUCUGAACCAGACAGGCCACCUAAUGCCUUCUGCACCCAGCUCUUCACAAUGGAAAAGAAGUUUGAAAUGAGGUGAGAACUUCAAAGUAAGUAAUCAUCUAGCAACCAUCAGAACAGCCUGUUUAGUUCAAAGGGUCAGAGAGAGGGUGGAUAAUUGUCAUGAAAAUAUCAUUUAUGACUGGUUUUGGUGCAAGAAACCAUGACUUUAGUGGGAUAAUGCUAUGAAAGUGUAAAAUAUGGUUCCUCUGAAGUACGUAAGCUAUCAGAACUUGUACUGAUUAAAUUAAUUUUGGUUUAAGGAAAAAUGUCUGUCCUCGUCUGGCCGUUCUUCAGUGGCUUUCAGUGAGGAAAAAUCGGUCUGAGUGUUAUUUGGAUCCUGCUGAGCUGGUCUGUGUGCCACCUUAUUGGCCAGCUGUUGUGGAAUAUGGAGGCCUGUCGCUCCCCACAGAGCAUGAACAUGUAAUUAAUGAGUAGAAUGCUUAAAGUGACAGCAAGACCAACUAGACCACACUCUCUUUUUAGUGCCCAACAUGGCAGCCUUUCUCAAAGCUCCUACCGGACAGAUGAUGCUCAUAAACUUACAUUUCUGUUUUCAUCGUCUUUCCUCAAAGAUCAGCUGAUUUCCUGCCGUACCUGUUUAAAAUGUUCACAAAUGUCUGACAGAGGUGUAGAAAUUCAUUGUGCCAGUGAGACGAGACGACAGAUAUUCUACCCGCUGGAGGAGCUAGGCAUCAAUGCACCAUCCCAGCAGAUCACCAAACAACAGGUCAGACCAGCUUCCAGAAAUAUUAACAUAAAACCUGCAAUCAAAUACUGCAACAACGAAAGCACCUGUAGUGUUAUUUGUAUACAAAACCAAUAGUUGAAUCUAUUCCAUACAACUCACCACUCACCAGCACAAUGCUACUGAAGUGUACUGCUUAGGGCUACGGCUUUGUUUAAUCACUUACCCUAAGUAUGAACACAACAAUGCAUGCUUUAGUGAUCACAUCGAGUAGAAAAUGGUAUGCCACAAGAGGGUGCUGUGCAGUAAAUGAAUGUGCCAUCACACGUGUAAUUUGUGACACACUUGCAACUCUCCAUCCCUAAACUGUCAAUGGACAGCAUGACAUCUUUUUUCCCCCACUUACAUUUAUCAGUAAUUAACACCGUAGCUGUCUGCAUUAUUCAACUCGUUACAUGUUCUGCGCAUCAGAAUCGUUAGCCGUACGUGAAGCAGAUCACAGGGCCGUUGUUGCCUGAGGAUAUUGAAUGUCUAGUUGUAAAGAAACAGAUGGAUGCAUGCUGGCAGAUGGCAGUGAAUGUUUACACUGGUUUCUAACAGGUAACAGCAGCAUUCUUAUCCAGCAAUUAUCAGAACAGCCAACAUCUGCUGUAGACGUGUGUGUGUGUGUGUGUGUGUGUGUGUGUGUGUGUGUGUGUGUGUGUGUGUGUGUGUGUGUGUGUGUGUGUGUGUGUGUGUGUUUACUCCUGAGUAAGAUACCACACACCCAAUAGCCAGAGGGGAGAUUUCACUUCACACAAUGUUUCUUCAUCAAUACAAUCUAAAAGAGCUAAAUUAAUCAUGAAGUGUUAUGAAAGCACAUUCAGUCCACAUGAUUUCACAGUUUUCUUCAAUAAAACACAUCAGGAGAGCAUGAACAGUGUGCUUGCGGCAGUGGCAGUUUACAAACAUGGGUCUACAAAAGCUUGUAGGUGGCUAAGUAGGCAGCAUUUUAAUGUAUGUUCACAACAUGAUUAGCUGUUUCAAAACUUAUUUUCUUUUAGUCAAAUGCUUAAGUAGCAUCAUAUGUAUCAUUCAUAUAGAUUGAUUAUUCACGCAUCGCUAUGAAUAAUCAAUCCAAGAUGGCAGAUGACAUUAUUGAAAGCUAAAUAUUUAUAUUUAAUCAAUAUAAAUAUUUGUGAA